GACGAACGCUGGCGGCGUGCUUAACACAUGCAAGUCGAACGGAAAGGCCCCUUUGGGGGUACUCGAGUGGCGAACGGGUGAGUAACACGUGAGUAACCUGCCCUUGACUUCGGGAUAACUUCAGGAAACUGGGGCUAAUACCGGAUAGGAAUCCUUGCUGCAUGGUGGGGGUUGGAAAGCUUCGGCGGUUUUGGAUGGACUCGCGGCUUAUCAGCUUGUUGGUGGGGUAGUGGCUUACCAAGGCUUUGACGGGUAGCCGGCCUGAGAGGGCGACCGGCCACAUUGGGACUGGGAUACGGCCCAGACUCCUACGGGAGGCAGCAGUGGGGAAGAUUGCACAAUGGGCGGAAGCCUGAUGCAGCAACGCCGCGUGCGGGAUGACGGGCUUCGGGUUGUAAACCGCGUUCAGCAGGGGCGAAGCUUGUGGUGACGGUACCUGCAGAAGAAGCACCGGCUAACUACGUG
rnacentral:rRNA from 1 species